ACCAUGGAGCUCCCCAUAAGUGAGCAUGAAGAGCAGCUUGUUCUGAAGCAGGAGACUGAAGAUACAGGAGAGAAACCUUUCCCAGACCACCUGCAGGAUUAUGUUGGAAAAGAGGAGGAUUUCUCUGAACAGCAGCUCUGUGGUCAGGAGGUAAAUUCCAGUUUGGACCAAGAGAAACCUUUGCAGAUAAAAGAAGAGCAGAUAGAACCAGAACAUCCCUGGACAAAAGAGGAAACCAUGGAGCUCCCCAUAAGUGAGCAUGAAGAGCAGCUUGUUCUAAAGCAGCAGACUGAAGAUACAGGAGAGAAACAUUUCCCAUUCUUGACAAGGGGAGAAAACCUUCUAAAAAAAGAAUAUUUUAAG